GAGGAGCCCCAGCCCUGAGAUUCCCAGUUGUUUACAUUCAGUGAUCAGCACCGAACACAGAGGACUUGCCAUGGAGUUUGGGCUGAGCUGGGUUUUCCUUGUUGCUAUUUUAAAAGGUGUCCAGUGUGAAGUGCAGCUGGUGGAGUCUGGAGGAGGCUUGGUACAGCCUGGGGGGUCCCUGAGACUCUCCUGUGCAGCCUCUGGAUUCACCUUCAGUGACUACUACAUGAGCUGGGUCCGCCAAGCUCCAGGGAAGGGUCUGGAGUGGGUCUCUGGUAUUAAUUGGAAUGGUGGUAGCACAGGUUAUGCAGACUCCGUGAAGGGCCGAUUCACCAUCUCCAGAAACAACGCCAAGAACUCCCUGUAUCUGCAAAUGAACAGUCUGAGAGCUGAGGACACAGCCUUGUAUUACUGUGCGAGAGACACAUUCUUGCCUGGGGUCCUGGCAUUGUUGUCACAAUGUGACAACUGGUUCGACCCCUGGGGCCAGGGAACCCUGGUCACCGUCUCCUCAGCCUCCACCAAGGGCCCAUCGGUCUUCCCCCUGGCGCCCUGCUCCAGGAGCACCUCCGGGGGCACAGAGGCCCUGGGCUGCCUGGUCAAGGACUACUUCCCCAAACCGGUGACGGUGUCGUGGAACUCAAGCGCCCUGACCAGUGGCGUGCACACCUUCCCGGCUGUCCUACAGUCCUCAGGACUCUACUCCCUCAGCAGCGUGGUGACCGUGCCCUCCAGCAGGUUGGGCACCCAGACUUACACCUGCAAUGUGAAUCACAAGCCCAGCACCACCAAGGUGGACAAGAGAGUUGAGCUCAAAACCCCACUUGGUGACACAACUCACACAUGCCCACGGUGCCCAGAGCCCAAAUCUUGUGACACACCUCCCCCGUGCCCACGGUGCCCAGAGCCCAAAUCUUGUGACACACCUCCCCCGUGCCCACGGUGCCCAGAGCCCAAACCUUGUGACACACCUCCCCCGUGCCCACGGUGCCCAGCACCUGAACUCCUGGGAGGACCGUCAGUCUUCCUCUUCCCCCCAAAACCCAAGGACACCCUCAUGAUUUCCCGGACCCCUGAGGUCACGUGCGUGGUGGUGGACGUGAGCCACGAAGACCCCGAGGUCCAGUUCAACUGGUAUGUGGAUGGCGUGGAGGUGCAUAAUGCCAAGACAAAGCCGCGGGUGGAGCAGUACAACAGCACGUACCGUGUGGUCAGCGUCCUCACUGUCGUGCACCAGGACUGGCUGAAUGGCAAGGAGUACAAGUGCAAGGUCUCCAACAAAGCCCUUCCAGCCCCCAUCGAGAAAACCAUCUCCAAAACCAAAGGGCAGCCCCGAGAACCACAGGUGUACACCCUGCCCCCAUACCGGGAGGAGAUCACCAAGAACCAGGUCAGCCUGACCUGCCUGGUCAAAGGCUUCUACCCCAGCGACAUCGCCGUGGAGUGGGAGAGCAGCGGGCAGCCGGAGAACAACUACAAGACCACGCCUCCCAUGCUGGACUCCGACGGCUCCUUCUUCCUCUACAGCAAGCUCACCGUGGACAAGAGCAGGUGGCAGCAGGGGAACGUCUUCUCAUGCUCCGUGAUGCAUGAGGCUCUGCACAACCACUUCACGCAGAAGAGCCUCUCCCUGUCUCCGGGUAAAUGAGUGCGACGGCCGGCAAGCCCCCGCUCCCCGGGCUCUCAGGGUCGCGCGAGGAUGCUUGGCACGUACCCCGUGUACAUACUUCCCGGGCGCCCAGCAUGGAAAUAAAGCACCCAGCGCUGCCCUGGGCCCCUGCG